rnacentral:rRNA from 1 species
GAAGCACAUUGGGGAAUUUGGACAAUGGACGCAAGUCUGAUCCAGCAAUGCCGCGUGCAGGACGAAGGCCUUCGGGUUGUAAACUGCUUUUGUACAGAACGAAAAGGCUCUGGUUAAUACCUGGGGCUCAUGACGGUACUGUAAGAAUAAGCACCGGCUAACUACGUGCCAGCAGCCGCGGUAAUACGUAGGGUGCGAGCGUUAAUCGGAAUUACUGGGCGUAAAGCGUGCGCAGGCGGUUUUGUAAGACCGAUGUGAAAUCCCCGGGCUCAACCUGGGAACUGCAUUGGUGACUGCAAGGCUGGAGUGCGGCAGAGGGGGAUGGAAUUCCGCGUGUAGCAGUGAAAUGCGUAGAUAUGCGGAGGAACACCGAUGGCGAAGGCAAUCCCCUGGGCCUGCACUGACGCUCAUGCACGAAAGCGUGGGGAGCAAACAGGAUUAGAUACCUGGUAGUCCACGCCCUAAACGAUGUCAACUGGUUGUUGGGUAUUGCUUACUCAGUAACGAAGCUAACGCGUGAAGUGCCGCUGGGCG